rnacentral:rRNA from 1 species
CGUUAGCGGCGGACGGGUGAGUAACACGUGGGUAACCUACCUAUAAGACUGGGAUAACUUCGGGAAACCGGAGCUAAUACCGGAUAAUAUUUCGAACCGCAUGGUUCGAUAGUGAAAGAUGGUUUUGCUAUCACUUAUAGAUGGACCCGCGCCGUAUUAGCUAGUUGGUAAGGUAACGGCUUACCAAGGCUACGAUACGUAGCCGACCUGAGAGGGUGAUCGGCCACACUGGAACUGAGACACGGUCCAGACUCCUACGGGAGGCAGCAGCG